rnacentral:rRNA from 1 species
CCUGUAAGACUGGGAUAACUCCGGGAAACCGGGGCUAAUACCGGAUGCUUGAUUGAACCGCAUGGUUCAAUCAUAAAAGGUGGCUUUUAGCUACCACUUACAGAUGGACCCGCGGCGCAUUAGCUAGUUGGUGAGGUAACGGCUCACCAAGGCGACGAUGCGUAGCCGACCUGAGAGGGUGAUCGGCCACACUGGGACUGAGACACGGCCCAGACUCCUACGGGAGGCAGCAGUAGGGAAUCUUCCGCAAUGGACGAAAGUCUGACGGAGCAACGCCGCGUGAGUGAUGAAGGUUUUCGGAUCGUAAAACUCUGUUGUUAGGGAAGAACAAGUACCGUUCGAAUAGGGCGGUACCUUGACGGUACCUAACCAGAAAGCCACGGCUAACUACGUGCCAGCAGCCGCGGUAAUACGUAGGUGGCAAGCGUUGUCCGGAAUUAUUGGGCGUAAAGCGCGCGCAGGCGGUUUCUUAAGUCUGAUGUGAAAGCCCCCGGCUCAAC